GCUUGUUUUGCACCAAGAUCAUGGUGGCCCCGGAAUCCCUUAGCCCCUGGACGGUCUGCCCAUUCAGCCAGACUGGCUGUCGAUGGUGGGCUUGGUUUUCAUGGGCAGCUUGGUAGGGGUUGGCUGAGUGCAGGGGAAUCCAGGAGUCUUCAGGGGGUCAGCUUUGUAGUAGUGGGCCACUGCUCUCAGGGGUUGAGCGACCACAAGGCAAACCCACUGGGGUUGGAGUUGAGGGCACUCUUUUUUGUGGUGGCCGGGCUGACAGCAGUGGUAGCAGUUGGAGCCCGUCUGUGUGGGUACUCUUGGGUGGGUCCCAGCCGCUGUCGACUUUCCUGGUGCGGGGUUAGGGCAGUCUGUAGGUCACAGUGGCAGCUGGGCAUAGUAGGUUAGGGCAGACUGUAGGUCACAGUGGCAUCAGCAUAGUCAUCGGCCUGCUGCGGUGCCUCUGUUAGGGUCUUGGGCUGCCGGUCUCUCACCCACUCCCGCACUUCAUUGGGGAGCCCAUUGAAAAAAAAUUCUAACAUGAAGAGCUGUAGGAUCUCUUCG